rnacentral:lncRNA from 1 species
CUGAAAACAGAUCCCCGCCCUUCCCGCCAGGAGCAUCUGGGGCCACGACACAGUGUUUCCCUCUACUCCACCUCACACCUGGGUUAACACCUGGGCCGAUGUCAUUUUUCCACCUUUCAGGUUUACGGUUGUCCCUUCAGUGGAAUCAAAACCACAGAUUUACUCAACGCUGUGGCUCUGGACCAGACAGUGUCCUUGAGCAACAUGGUUCUUCUAUGCUUCCCCCCACCCUUAGCUACCACCUGAAGAUCUGAGCCGGUGGAGAGAACGUGGCUUCUUGGGAGAGAGGCAGAGGCGUGCUGAAAACCCACUGCAGCUGCUCUCCACACCUGGGAUACAUCUCAUCAGGACCUAAUGCGUCAGCUGUCCCAAAACAAGGCGAGAGUCCCUUCCUCGCCCAAGGAAAGCUUCACAGGUGAGGGCAGAGGUUCCUGAAGAGCAAAGUGGGUUCUGGCUGAGGCUGAGUCAGUGAUCAGCUUGGCUGGCCUUUGGCUCUGUCCACCUUGCUUGCUCUGGGGAGGUGCACGGCGUGAAUGGAGAUGCAGAAAUGCUUCGUGAUUCCUGUAUUCCAAGAAGAAAGGUGGUCUGCAGGGUCAUUCUACAACCUCCUUUUGCACAGUCAUCACAAUGCCCUACCAAGCCAAAAAUCCUGUGAGAUCCUUCCUCCAGAAUCAGAGACCAUUUCUCCAGCAAGCUUUUCAACAGGAUUUUAACUCUUCUGUCAGCUGGCAAAAACACUGAACCAGCAGAUUGAAAACACACAGUGUCCCCUAAGAGAAGAUGCUCACCAGAGGACACCCUCAUGGCCCCAGGUGAAUCACCCCCAUCAGCGCAGCACUGCCAGACCUGACAGAGGAGAAGAGAAGCAUGACUGACGUUUCUGUGAAGAGUCCAGGAGAAAGACAAUCUCUCAAAGGUGCUCGUUUCUGGAAAAUACAUUCUGGGUAGAAUUGGAAGAGUUUGGGUUCUGUCAAGUUUAUACAAGCAGAGAGAAAUCAGCCAUGCAUACAGAUUUUUUUAUUUGUCUGAAUGGAAAGAAAAGUGUACGAAUCUUUCCCAGGCUUCUGAGAUGCUUGAAGAUGCAAUUGAAAAGCUUGCUUACCAUCUUGUCUGGAUAAGUUACAGCAUAAGAUUAACACAGAGCAAG